rnacentral:lncRNA from 1 species
UCAAGAUGCUCUUCAUUAAUUUCCCUUUUCUCUUGACCAUGUAUGUCCAUGAUGUAUUUGUUUAUCUAUGUAUAUUUUAGCCGAAAAGAGGGAUAAUCCAUUGUCUGUACAACAAACAACACAUUUUAGUUCUUAUGGACAUAAUUGGGUAAGGUUGUCUUGUUGAAUAAUGCAUAUAUACCGAUGCUUGGUUUAUUCCAAUCCUUGAGCUAUUUUAGAUCGAGUUGCGAUAGUUAUGUGUAUUGAUAGUUGCAUAUUGUAUAGGAACUACCAAGUGUGAUGAAUGAGUGAGAAAGAGAGAAAGCCUAUUGACAGAACAAUACUGUAGGACAAUAUUUACAUCAAUUCAAGCCAUUUUGUCUUGUAAGUUAUCGAUCAAGAUUCAGGGAGAUAACUGUUUCAAUAGCUAAGGCGUACGUUGUCACAGUUUCAAUUGUUAAGCCAGUUGGGUUGUUAUUGUGUGAAUAGGCAGUGACUACCAAGGCCUACUUUAAUACUAACUUGAGAUUAUUGACUUUUAGAAAUAAGGCUUGAGUGUAUAUUUUGACUCAACAAUUUGUAUAUGCAGAAAAAAGGUCUGAAUAGAUGUGCACAGGACGGGAGAAAAUUCCACUACCUAUGUCACCCUAUGGUGGAUCCAAAAUCCUGGACCAGCAGGACCGAACAAAAAAAUUAAUCACUCUUAUAUAGGUUGCAACUGCCCACCGUAAAAUGUAUCAAAACCCGCUUUUUAUGACACUUAUUAGUUAGAUUCAACAAAAGUGAACUUUAUGAAAACAUACUGAUAAUACUUUCAUAUACCUACCUACUAGUAUGUUUCCUG